rnacentral:sRNA from 1 species
AUUUUUAAAAAUAAAGAAUCCGAGUAAACCGGAUAACCACUUUAAUUUUAAUUUUGGACGUCUGAUAAAUCAAGCUUCCUGCUUAUUCGUAACUGGACUCAUUUUGGUCAUUUUUUAGUAUGACUUUGAACUAAUGUCCAAUUUUUUAAGCGAUGUGGGACAUUGUACACAUAUUAUUUCUUCAUUGAUUGAAUAAUACAUGUCGAUUUUAAAAAUUUGAAUUACAUC